AUGAAGUUGAUCCUGAUGAUUCUAUUAAAUUCAGGGAACUACAGCCUUGGAGUAGUGUUCAUAAACUGGCCAGAACUUGAAUUCUGGGGAGGUAACCACUUCCAGGCUGAAUUUCUGAUUUAUACUGGCGUUGAACAAGCAAGGGCUCACAGCAUGAAGGACUGUGAUACAGCAAGGAGUUUGUUGAGAGAAGUCUAUUGGCAUUUCACUUCACUUGUCAGGCUGCAUAUAAAGGCAAAGAUUGGAGAUCUACAAGUGAAAAGAAAUAUUUCAACAGACAAUGCCUGGUACUUUGAAUCUGAUCACUUUACAAACAAGCAGAUGCUUUCUCUAUUGUACGGAUGACCUCAUCAGGGAAAGUGGAUUAAGCUCUGGAUCACUCUACUCAGAGUCAUCCUCCAGCACUUCUGAAAUCACAGGCCUAUUCUUCUGCUCUACUCUUCCCUUAAAAAAACAAGGACAAUUCUAAAUAACGUUCAUCUCAUUAAUUAAAAAAAAACAAAUAGGUAAGUAUUUAUACCCAUAGUUAAAUGUAAAUAAUGUUUCAUUAAGUAUGAAUCAUUAAGUUGCUUUCACAAUGAUUUUAGAGCAAACUGUAUUUGGGGCAGACAUUAUGCUAGAAAUUCUUUCAUGGCUUAUUUAAUUCUCACAAUAUUCUAGAACUGCUACCCCCUUUUUAAACAUAAGAUAAGCACUGGUUAGAAAGAUAACAUAACUUGCUAAAGAUCAACAGUAAAAAAAUCUAUUUACAGCUAAUCAAAAUUGGCUUUAACUGAAACAAGGUAGGUUUUUGUAUUACAAAGAAGCUAAAGACGUCAUAUGACAUACAGUUGUGUUUCAUUAUCAGUCAUUAACUCCACCGUCUUCCAGAUUAUCUGGCAAAAUAUGCCAUUUAAAAGAUAGGAGCCCACUUUUCCAGAAUGACCUGUCUUUUCUAUUUUGUUCUUGUUGAUCACCUAACAAAAUUAAAGAAGAAUGUACCUUGUCUCACAACAUAUUUUAAAACAAUAUCUUUCACUGUUGUUUUUAAUUUUUUUUUCUUUUCUUUUUUUGCAGAACUCUCUUCCUUAAACAUCUAUUAAAAAAAAUUAGCAUUUAACAGAUGAAGGACUUCACUGGUGGUCCAGUGGUUAAGAUUCUGUGCUUCCACUGCAGGGAGCACAGGUAUGAUCCCUGAUUGGGGAACUGAAAUCCCACAUGCCAUAAGACAUGGCCAAAAAUAAAUAAGUAAAAUAAUAAAAUAAAUGAAAACA
rnacentral:lncRNA from 1 species